rnacentral:rRNA from 1 species
GAUGAACGCUGGCGGCGUGCCUAAUACAUGCAAGUCGAGCGAACGGACGAGAAGCUUGCUUCUCUGAUGUUAGCGGCGGACGGGUGAGUAACACGUGGAUAACCUACCUAUAAGACUGGGAUAACUUCGGGAAACCGGAGCUAAUACCGGAUAAUAUUUUGAACCGCAUGGUUCAAAAGUGAAAGACGGUCUUGCUGUCACUUAUAGAUGGAUCCGCGCUGCAUUAGCUAGUUGGUAAGGUAACGGCUUACCAAGGCAACGAUGCAUAGCCGACCUGAGAGGGUGAUCGGCCACACUGGAACUGACACACGGUCCAGACUCCUACGGGAGGCAGCAGUAGGGAAUCUUCCGCAAUGGGCGAAAGCCUGACGGAGCAACGCCGCGUGAGUGAUGAAGGUCUUCUGAUCGUAAAACUCUGUUAUUAGGGAAGAACAUAUGUGUAAGUAACUGUGCACAUCUUGACGGUACCUAAUCAGAAAGCCACGGCUAACUACGUGCCAGCAGCCCCGGUAAUACGUAGGUGGGAAGCGUUAUCCCGGAAUUAUUGGGCGUAAAGCGCGCGUAGGCGGUUUUUUAAGUCUGAUGUGAAAGCCCACGGCUUUACCCUGGAGGGUCAUUGGAAACUGGAAAACUUGAGUGCAGAAGAGGAAAGUGGAAUUCCAUGUGUAGCGGUGAAAUGCGCAGAGAUAUGGAGGAACACCAGUGGCGAAGGCGACUUUCUGGUCUGUAACUGACGCUGAUGUGCGAAAGCGUGGGGAUCAAACAGGAUUAGAUACCCUGGUAGUCCACGCCGUAAACGAUGAGUGCUAAGUGUUAGGGGGUUUCCGCCCCUUAGUGCUGCAGCUAACGCAUUAAGCACUCCGCCUGGGGAGUACGACCGCAAGGUUGAAACUCAAAGGAAUUGACGGGGACCCGCACAAGCGGUGGAGCAUGUGGUUUAAUUCGAAGCAACGCGAAGAACCUUACCAAAUCUUGACAUCCUUUGACAACUCUAGAGAUAGAGCCUUCCCCUUCGGGGGACAAAGUGACAGGUGGUGCAUGGUUGUCGUCAGCUCGUGUCGUGAGAUGUUGGGUUAAGUCCCGCAACGAGCGCAACCCUUAAGCUUAGUUGCCAUCAUUAAGUUGGGCACUCUAAGUUGACUGCCGGUGACAAACCGGAGGAAGGUGGGGAUGACGUCAAAUCAUCAUGCCCCUUAUGAUUUGGGCUACACACGUGCUACAAUGGACAAUACAAAGGGCAGCGAAACCGCGAGGUCAAGCAAAUCCCAUAAAGUUGUUCUCAGUUCGGAUUGUAGUCUGCAACUCGACUACAUGAAGCUGGAAUCGCUAGUAAUCGUAGAUCAGCAUGCUACGGUGAAUACGUUCCCGGGUCU